GCCAGCACCGCUGACGUACUUCCAUGUUGCACUCCAAACAAACACAGUGAGGCUAAUGGGGAGAGAGUCAUGGAGAAAACACGGAGAUAACAAGAACAAAAUCAUCAUCAGGAAAAGACUGUUUGUUAAAGAGCGAUAACAGAAAAAGUCCUGAGACGGAGGCUCCAUCUGUUGUCAUUGGCGCAGUGGGUGUUGCUGCUGGCAGCCGCCGAGUGAGGCCCGUGGACAGCAGCGCAGCUCGCAGCCGGGCCGCAGCGGGGACACGUUUGCUCCUGAACAACAAAGACGUCACGCUUCCUCACCUCAGGUGAACUGGUGAACUGCACCUUGAUCCCGACCAAAGACUGAAGCAGCACCAACGUUCUCACCUGCAGCAUGUUGAGGAGCAGCGAUCUGAACUUGGUUCCCUCCACCAUGAACAG